UAGGUGACCUACCGAAUAGUGGGGGAUAACACGAAGAAAUUCGUGCUAAUACCGCAUAUGGACAACGAAUCUGAAUAUAGUUGUCGAAAGAAUGCCUCUUUACAAUGCAUUCGCUAAUCGAUGGGCCUGCGGAGCAUUAGCUAGUUGGUGGGGUAAUGGCCUACCAAGGCUUCGAUGCUUAGCGGAUCUGAGAGGAUGAUCCGUCACACUGGAA
rnacentral:rRNA from 1 species